rnacentral:rRNA from 1 species
UACAGAGGGGGCAAGCGUUGUCCGGAAUUACUGGGCGUACAGCGCGCGCAGGCGGUUGCCGACGUGCCGUGUGACAAACGGGGGCUCAACCCCCGAGGGCCACGGUAAACGGGGCGACUGGAGGACGGGAGAGGGAUGUGGAAUUCCCGGUGUAGUGGUGAAAUGCGUAGAUAUCGGGAGGAACACCAGUGGCGAAGGCGACUUCCUGGCCUGUUCUUGACGCUGAGGCGCGAAAGCUAGGGGAGCAAACGGG